rnacentral:rRNA from 1 species
AUGGCCGCCACUGCAGGCGGCGGCCGCGCCGGCCCGUGCUUCUCGAUCCGGGGGUACGCGGCGCGGGCGCGGGCUGGCGCGGCGGACGAGGGCGGGAGGUGCUGGCCGCUGGGCGGGCCGCCGGAGACGCUGCCGCCGAUGGAGGUGCGGCGGUUCCGGUGGUGGGCGGACGAGGCGGCGCUGGCGGACGACAUGGACGACGGGGAGGAGGAGCGGAGGAACGCGACCAUGCGCCGGAAGCGCUCCGUCGUCGAGCUCUUCGCCGCCGUGCCGCGGGUCGCCGGGGACGACGGGAGGAAGGUGAAGAGGAAGCUCGACAAGGGGAAGCAGCCGGCCGGGGCUCAGGCCAAGAAGGGGUCCAAGAAGGACAAGGCCCCGGCUGACAUUGUUGCGAGGAAAAAGGAGAAAAAUGAAAAUGCGAACGCUACCUCACUUAGCAUUUCUCAAUUAUUUCAAGACGCCAUACGAAAGAGGAAGCUCAAAAAGUCUCCUAGCAAGAAAAGGAAAAAUCAAGAGGUCUCAGUUUUACCGAACAAGAAAAAUAUAAAUGGAAGCAAGAAGUCAGUUUUGCCUAAUCAGAAGGCUAUGGAGAAUGGUUCUGAAGUUCAAACCAUUCUUAAGAAACACUUAGGAACAGGAGAGGGCACAUUUCUGAAAAACUCUGAUGUUACGUGUCCGUCAAAGUCUUCUCUCAAAUCAAAACAUGUUACUUUUUCGGACACAGCUGACAUAUGUGGGUUGACUGCCUCCCAAACUGAAGAUAACACGGAGCAAUCACAGGUGGUGCAGGCAUCCCAGCAACCGUCCCAGAGAGACAAUUCUCAGGUAGUCAAUGAUCAGCGCAAUACAGAAGAGCCACAGUUGGUGCAUCAGCGGAUAGAUGCUUUAUCGGGGACUAUUGAGCAGGAUAGCAGCUCUUUAUCUGAGAAGGUAGGUUCAACUGGUGCCUCCCAUACUGUUCCACUUACCAAACCUGUGUAUCUGAAUCAUUGCAUAGAGAUUUCUAAGAGGGACAACGGCAACCGUUUGAGCUCCAUGAGCUCAGCUGCCCUGCCUAGUCAAGGGCUUGCUCAAAAGUCUGCUGGCGUUAACUUCCGUUUGCAAGAAGGCCUAUGUCUUGGUAUUGGGCUUCAAGCUGAAGAAAACUGUCAGAUGAUGCCAAGAGGACCAUCUGUUCCUGCUGGUUUAGCAGUCGACAAAAGACCAGAAUAUCUUAUGAGAACUCUGUUGCCACAUCCUUACAGCUCUGGCUAUGCUGCUUCUCUCAAAGAAGCAUUGGAUAGGAAUAGAAGCACAAUUCUUCAGGAAAGGUUGAUUGCUAAUUGCCACUUGACAGAAGUUCAUCCUAGUGUUCGUAGAUCUGGUAAUGACGUGGUGAGCAAUAUAAACACCUCAACAGGAUCAAACAAAUCAACAAAUGCACAACCUACAGUCUGUGUAUCUGCAUGCAGGAACAUGUACAGUGAUGGCUAUAUGGGUCUUCCUAUUAAUUCGCAUGGUGAAUUUGUCAGGGUUCAAACUGGUGGUACCCUUAAUCCCGAUGAGCUGCUUAAAACACAAUGCUUGAGGAAGGAUUCUUUGCAUCCUUCAACAUCUCCAACUUUCUUCACACCUAGUACUUCCUUGGAUUAUGCCCAUUUAAGAAUCAACCAUGAAGCUCCGCCAUUUUUUACAGUUGCUAAUUUUGGUAUUCAGCCAGACCCUCGUCUUAUCCCCACAAUGCCAACUGCAUUCAAUAUGGGUUUCAGACAGCGUCCCAGCUCUGAAAGAGUGGAAGUGCAUAACCAUGCAAUUCCCAGCAGCAUAUAUUCAUGCAGGAACCAGCAAGGGAGUUCAGAUCAAUGUUUGGGUGCUCAAUUCCUGGGACAUGAUGAUCAAUUGCUGAAGUCACUUGAGAUGCAAAGCUGCUUCCCAAGACAGAAUUAUAAGCAGAAUAUCCAACCUGCUGCUGAAACGACGAUGCGCCUAAUGGGCAAAACAGUUAGUCUUGGAACCGGCAUUGGGGGUUUAGAAAACUGUGGUCCAUGUUCUAGUAACCAAAUCAGAGCUGAAGAUCGUUGCUUUCCAGGGAUGUGCACACAAGUUUCUCCCCAAUUGUCUCAUGAAGGUUUGGUUGAUCCUGCUGCAACAUUUAGGAUUUUGAAUGGAGGAAGACCACCAUCAGAAUAUGCAUCACGUUUUUCUUCUGUUCCAGCAGCUGAGCAGGGGCCUGGUUUCAGCAAAAGUAAUCAGAGUCGUCAACCUCAACUAGCCGUGCCAAACAAGGUGUCUAUGCAACCAGUGAGCAGGUACAAUGAGGUCAGGCUGGGGCAUCAGCGACCAGCUGUGGCAAAUCAAGUUCAGAGUACUGCUAAUCAUCUAGAACCUGGUCCUGCGCACUGCGGUCGUACCGCUAGUGUUGCAACAAAGCCAUCUUACGAUCCAUGGAACAAGUUCAAAAACAUUGCAGAAACAAGACCAGGGUCAUCUCAGUUCAGCCUUUUCCCUGAAAACAGCAGCAGCAUGACACAAAUGACCCCAAUAUCCAACUGUAUGUCUGGCUACUCUGUUCAGAGCACUGCUGCAUCAUCAACAACUCAAACAAAGUUUACCUCACUCCGUCCAUUGCCCCCUUCAAUGGUCUCUUCUCAUGUUUUUAGCAGUGAAGCUGUGCGGCCUCAUGGAUCUACUGCAUCCAGGCCAUUAGUUCCCCUUCCUCGUGAACCAGGUAAAAGUAAUGCUCCAGGUGGUGUGAUCUUUGAAGACAAGGGGAGCAUGAAACAGGCCACUGUAGUAGCAUCAAGAUCGAGUCUUGAGAGUUCGAAGCAAAUCAACAAGAGUUUCAAAGGACCGGCAGAAAAGGAUGAUGUGUUAUUGACAUCACCAAACAAAACUUGCAUAGCAGUACGAAAGGACCUAAAUCCGCCGCCACUCCUGGUAGAAAUCUAUGGAUCCAGACCAGGUGGGCAGCCCCGAGAUAUGGCAGUUCGUCUCAAUGGUGGGCAACCCCGAGAUAUGCCAGUUCGUCUCAACAGUGGGCAACCCCGAGAUAUGCCAGUUCGUCUCAACGGUGGGCAACCCCGAGAUAUGCCAGUUCGUCUCAGUGGACCUGAAACAAUUCUUCGAGCUGUAACCAGUGGUGCAAAUACACGUUCGGCGUUGACAGAUUCUUCCAGUACUGCGGGUACUAGACCUGUUAAGUUGCAAUCUGGAGCAAAGCACAUACUCCAGCCAUGUGCUAGUGCUAGCUUGGACCAGGUGGAUUCCUGGCCUGCGCGGUCGGUCAUACAGCAUGAAGUGGAGAAUGAUGCUCGCGCAGUAGGUGCAUCGAAGAAGACCGACCUGUGCUGA